GUUCAAUGAUGAUAUAAAGGCUAAUGUGACUUGACCAGCUGGGUUGCACCCUCAGCCCAUUCCAGUAAUACGGGUCUGUAAUCUUGGUGGACAACGCAGAGCUGUGCGUGUUUGCUGUAAGGGCAGGCCGACAGAAAAUCCCCUUCCCUGCAUUCCUGGGAAAUAAAUCUUAGGGAUGUGUCAGCUCUUAGUGAGUGCUUCUAUGAGCUGAGGGGGGGCUACGGGGAUAGGAUGGGAUGGCGCAUCCGAGGUUUGGGUUGUAGGGGGCAGCCCGUGCAACAGCUGGUGGGAUGUGAGCACACAUCUUUGGUAAUCUGAUGACU
rfam:Calypte anna contig53870, whole genome shotgun sequence.